rnacentral:lncRNA from 10 species
AGGCUUCUUAUGACGUAGACUGGAGGUACUGAGACAUCACUUUUGCUACAUUAGAAGGUUAGAUGCUGACAUUUUAUGAUUUCACAACUUGGAUCCUCUGUCCUCUGAUACUGAAUCAGAUAGUAGUUUAUGGAGCUGAGCAGAGAGCCAGCUGGUCCUGGGCACAGAGGAGGCUGUGUUCCAUGCUGAAGACAAGAACAUAUGGUGGACGUACCAUCCUAACUAUCUGGGAAGGGAGCUUCGUGGCUACAUGGGAGUUAUCAUCUGCCAGUGCCGGCUGCAUCCUGGCUGUGCCCACCUCUGGACUCUGAAUCUCUGCACCUCAGUACCCCCAACCCCAACACGACUGUGAUGUUAGGCAUAUAUUAGGCAUGUGAAGAUGAGAAAGAGAAGAUACAGCUCCCAUGUUUAUCUCCAUGAGAAGAUAAGCCACAGGGAGAGAGAAAGACUGUUGUGCACGAGAGGGAGUGUCAAAUGCCAAAUGGAUGUCAGCAGUCGGGGUGUGCUAGAGGCACUCAGGGGAAGGGAGGCUGGGCAUAGAGGGUCAUGCUGGAGGAGGUGACUCUGGAUCUGAAUCUUGAAAGGGCACCAUCACAUACACUAUAAUAUGAAUCAUGACCCCCGGAGUUGUGUGGAGUUUCUGCAUCUCUCCCUCCCCACUGUGGCUACCCUCAUCCAGCAACCAUCCUGUCUCUCACCGGUAUUACCGCAGCUGAGACCCAGGUCUUAAGGAAGCUGAGACCCAGGCCAGCAGGGGCCUCACAGCUUGGAAAAAGAGGAGGGUGUAAGACUCUGGAUGAAGCUGAGAGAUCCUUCCAUGCUUGGCUGAGAGACUACACAGACAUGAGCUUCAGGAGACUCCAAAGCCUCGGAUCCCCUUCUAAACUAGCACUGAAUUCUGAUUGGCUGUCUUUGCCUGCCUCAGUUUGUUCCUUUUACUGAUUGGCUAGGUUCUUCUGCCCAUGGCAGAGCCCUGCUCCAGCCACCGGAUCCUCCCACCUGCCACAGUGUCACCUGGGAUUGGCUGGGCUCUGAAAGGCCAGGCUGGCUUGACUCUUGCCAUCAUCAGAUUCUUCCUCAUUAAACAAAUGAAUCACAAUCCUAAUUAAUUUGAGCAACAGAAUUUAUGUAACUACUCCCAGCAGGAUGUCUGCUCUCAGUCAGCAGAGAGAUUACUUCCUCUCUCUGGGAAAUUCCAGCCUUGCUGGUCAAUAAGCCUUAAUGAUGACUGAAAUCUCCCAUCUGUCUCUGCUCAGGGCAGGUAACCCCUACUAAGCAGACACCCAGUUGGCUCGAGGCAGUACCCCGGGCACCGGCAGGACAAGGACAACGAUCUCCCAGCCUAGAUGUGUCCUGAGCCACAUGGAGCACACAGUAGGUGUUUACUUAAGGACAGGGGCUGCCCCUUCCAGGGAAGUUCUGAACCACUUAAAACCCACAGGAAGUGUUCAAUGUCUACUUAUGGAAUAAAUGAAAGGGAGGAUGUGUCACUCAGAUACUUAUAAAAUGGUCUCAAGAUCCUAAACUCCAAGCAAGCUUCUCCAGCUCUUUCCAGCCUUUGCUCCCCCUAUUUCCCAUGACCAUAACCCAAUUCUGUCUUUUUCCUAUUUUGAACUUUCCAGACUCAGAAAUUUGGCUCUUCAUGUUCCCUGCCCUUGAACCGUCCCAGCCCUCUCUCCAAAACAGGCUUCAUGCUGGCUGCAUGGGAGGGAGGGGUAGCAAAGUGGAAAGUGUUACAGAAUUAGUGCUAAUUCUGGCUUUGUCACUUACUCAUUGUACUUCACCUCUCUGUUCUUAACUUUUCUCUCAUACAUAAACCACACGGGGUUCUUGGGAAGAUUAAAUAAGAAAACAUGGUGAAAAUGUAUUGCACAGUACUUGACUCAUUUAAUUGGUGACAGACAGUGUUUUAGGUAAUGGAGAUACAGUGGUGCUCAAGGCAGGCAAGAUUCCUGCUCCCAAAGAAUUUAAUUUCCAGGAGACAAGAAGCAAGCUAGCAAAUGUAUAAGAUAAUAGUUAGGGAACAGUACUCAGCAAAAAUAAAAAAUGUAUGGAGAGGGACUGAGGGGAGUGAGGAACUCUUUGAGGAGGUGCCACUCUGAGACCCAAAUGACAAGAAGGAAUUAACCACAUGACAUUCUAGAAAGAGGGAAAAGAGUUGCUGUUAAGAAGAUGUGGGUGUGUUAAAAAAAAAUUGCAAAGUCCCUUAGGUACGAUUGAGCUGCUAAUGAUCAAUCUGAGGCUUCUGCUCUGUGUCUUAUAGGUAAACGGGGUAAGGUUUGGUAGGACUGAAAAAUUCAUCCAGCCACCUAUCUAGGGGGUGUGAGGGUCAAGAUGUGGACCCAGGUCUUCUGCCCUUAAGAGCAGAGUGCUUGUCACUACAGCACAAAGAAGGUGCAAGAGAAAGGAAAAGUGAGUGGGAGGCGGUGAGGGAGGAACAGACUGCCUUGUCCUCCACCAGAUCUAAAUCUGUCUCCUCCUGAUGGUUGGCAGGAUUACAGGAUCUGACUCCCAUUUGGGCCUUCCACCUCCGCUGGCCUAAGCAGUCAAGUGUCAGAGAGCACUGGACCUAACAGCUCCCUCACCAGAGCAGCUGUGAUUCCUUCUUCAUUUCCAGCAGGGAAGACCCAACAACUUUUAUAAUAUGGGAUUUCUUUUAUUCUCAUGAUAAUAAUGUUCAUUGUGGAAAAUAAAAAAAAAUGAUAAAAUAAAAAUCAGCCAGAAUUCCAACUUCUGGAGAUUUUGGUGUCUUUCUGCAAAGUUCCUAUGCACAUAGAUACUUUAUAAAAUUAUGAACAUACUGUACAUACAGUUUUGGAAUAUGCCUUUUUCCUUCUGUCAUGAAAAAGUCUUCAAAUGCCUUUUAACAGCUACACAAUAGUUCACUACAUGAACCAACUCAAAUGUAACUAUUUUUGGCCUUUUGUUAUAAAUAACACAAGAACCCUCAGUCUUUGUUACAUAAUGUCCUAACAGAGUAGGGGAAAUGCUCCCCAAUCCGGUGCAAUGUCCUGUGCCCAGGGAAACCAAUU